GACUGUGUACUCAGUCUUCUCGGCGGUCUCGAGCAUUGCAGUUGUAAGUUGUGACACAUUGUGUCAUAUUGUGUCGCAAUAAUAUCUCGUAACUCCUCUUAAAGGAACUAUAGUGAGAAAAACCGUUUGCUACUUCGGAAUCUGUUAAAAUACAACCGUUUCGUGAACUCAAUCGUACAUGUGCCAUGGUAAAAUCGCGUAGAAUCGUGUCUAUGGUUUCAAGUGGUGGAUGAUUUCGACCGAGAAAGUUUUACUUUCAGCAGCCUUCCCGUGUGUCCGUUUUCGUCCGGUAUUCUUGCUUUUUCCCUCAAUUUUGUGCAGACAUGCGUUAGAUAUGUUUUAAUCUGUCCGAAGCUUCAUCUUGGAAAAUAUCUGUUCAUUUCUCGGUGAUGGAUUAAGGAUAACGUGUCCGUCAAUCGUUGAUUCCAGGGCGAAAGGUGAAAUUUGUAAACAAAAUAAUUGUGUAAGCGAACACAGUUUGUAUUCGCGUGGACCACAUGAUAGAUGAAUGGCUAAAUGAAUAAAUAAUAAAAUGACUGACAGGCGUUGAGGAAGAUUGUACAAGAUAAUUGAUGUAAUAUGUAAUAUCCUAAACGGAUAUCUUAGGGUUCCUAAUAGAAUUACGAAGAUUGAAGGUCACUUCAGUUCUACUUAAAAUUCAUAAGCCAACGAAAGAAUUUAUUUUGAAGAAAGCAAGACGUUACAACAAACAUAUGCACAUGAACAAAUGGCUAUUAAUAAGUUUUCAUAAAUACGUCUCGAGCUAGUUUUUAGUUAGAAAUAUCUGAGACUUUGUGACAAGCGAUUACAAAAUCGUUCUUGGCAGUUGUGUAUUCUCUGUCGGCAGCUUUCGCGUGUCGUUAAGAGGUAAGGUCUAGUCAGGAUUUUCAAAAAAUCGAUAUUUUUGCAUUUCCUUAAAGUAUGAUAUUUUGAAUAUAUUCUCUGCAAAUUUCAAGUUAAUUCAAUGAAUAGU